AAACUCAUUUUUAAUGGCUUGUGUGGCAUCAGUUGUGCCCCUGAGCUGUAAUGAAGCACUCUGCAAGUCACUACACGCAAGUCAGAAAUGAAUCUCACAGAGAGGAAAAAUGCUGGAACGUUAAUAGGUUUUAAUCCAAGGUAAGCAAACCUAUUGAGCCACUACCAUAUGCUUUUUAAAUCUAAAUGUCAUGAAAUUUUCAGCAGUUUUCCCUUGCCUGCAAAUCAGUUCUGGUCCAGAGACAGCCAAGUAGGGAUCAGAAGGGAAAAAUCUCAAAUGUGCAUAACUGCCCAGGAGCACACCUUGAGGAGUUUACAAGCACCGUUCAGGCAAAACAAAGAAAUAAUUGAUGGAGCACAAGGGAAACUGGCUUCGUAGGGAAGGCAUUUGAAAAGCUUGUAAGUGCAGCAGACAUCUUGCGAUAUAUUUGAUCCUAUCUUCAAUAUCUUGGGUGGAGAAGGGGUGGUGAAAUCUGAGAGUCUCUGUUAUAUGGGUUUUCCCCUUAGGUUUUUGUUUAAGUGGAAAAGCAGUGUUUGUAUAUUGCACUUUAUUGCACUGAUACUAGCCAAUUUACUGAGAUUUAAUUGCUAAACAUGCUAUUUUAAAUUUCAUUUUGCACAGUAUCUUGGCAGCUUUUGAUGCUUAACCAUUCAGAAAACAACAAUCUCUGAGUAUUAAAGUAAAACAAAUUGGUUUUACACUGGUGAGAUUUUCUGUGUAUGUGGGAGUCUGGAGGCAUAUUCUGAAUUUUAUUCCUCUAGCUCGUGGAUGACCAUGAAAUAGAGAGAUAGAUUCAAGCCUUCACCUUUAGGAUCUUUGGGGCCAUGGCUGCCGGUCCCACUUUCAUCAUGCUUCUCAAUGCUUGAUGUGUUAAUUGCUGUAGUAACUAUGGGGAUGUUCCUCUUCUCUCUAAUGAAAUGGAAAAUGUGUACCUAGUCAGAACGCAUCGGAUUCAAUUAACCUAAAUUACAGAAAUGUGGAGGCCCUGCAAAAGAAAUUUUAAAAUUUAGCCAUCUUUUCAAGUUUGUAUUUAGACAUCUUUGCAAAGCUUACUACAACAAGACAUGGUUCCAAGGGCUUUAUUACUUUAUUUAAUCCUGUUUUAAAUGAGGAAACUGACGCACAGUAAGGUUAAGUAAUUUGCCCAAGGUCACAGAGGGCAUAAAUUAGAGUUUGAAUUCAGACUGUUUCUAGAGACUUUGCGUACUCCUAACCAUCUAUUCUAGCCCUUCUCAGAGCAACUAGCAUGAAAGUUUAAUAGUGAAUUACAGUAAUUUUAGAGCUCCUUUGCUGCAUUUUCUUUAGAAAAAAAUUUUAAUGUUUGUUUAUUUAUUUUUGGGGGAGACAGAGAGACAGAUUGAAAGCAGGGGAGAGGUAGAGGGGUGGGGGGAGAGAGAGAGAGAGAAAUAGACAGAAUCUGAAGCAGGCUCCAGGCUCCAAGCCAACAGCACAGAGCCCAAAGUGGGGCUUGAACCCACGAAGCGUGGGAUCAUGACCUGGGCCGAUGCUCAACUAAGUGAGCCAACCAGGCACCCUUCCUUUGCUGCACUUUAUUAUCUAAGGCUAUGAAUAAUUUGUAGCUACUCACAGAAAUGGCCUGAUGGGUCAGAAAAAUUUUGGUCCCACUCAAAAGUAUAAUCUAUUACUCCCUAUGGAUGCCCCCUUCUCCAGAUUUUGCAGUCUUCAUGUAAUGAAAAUGUUAGUCCUAUAAAUAUUUUAUGGAAACAAAACUAAAAAUGAGCCUUGGACCUCAGCCAAAAAUUCUGCUAUCCUGGGACAUAGUUGGGAGAGUCAGAAUAGAGAAUAAAAUAAAGUUCAAUGUGUCCUUCCUAAGACCUACCAUAUUAUAAACUUGGGAUAGUCACCAGUUGUCCCAAUGACUGAUUCCUAUCUGUGUGGCCUUGGAAAGCAGAAGAAAUAGGAGGAGGAUAUGAUUUGGAAGGUUGAGGUUCUCACACUUUAAUGUGCUUAUGAAUUUCCCCCAGAGAACUUAUUGGAAUACAGAUUAUUUUUUUGUAGGUCAUAGGUGUGUCCAAAUAUUCUGAAUUUCCAUUAUACACCUAGGUACUGCUGAUGCCACUGGUCCAUAGACCAUAUUUUGAGACAAGGAUCUAGAAUCAAUCAGCAGCAUCACCAUCAUCUGGAAACUUGCUGGAAAUGCAGAUUCUUUGGCUCUAUUCCAGGCCCACUCAAUCAGAAUUUAUGUUUUGACAAAAUCUCCAGUUAAUUUAUAUGUACUUUAAUUGAGAAAUGUGGUCUAGGGUACCCUUCAAAUGAUGUAGAUGGACAUAAAUCAUUAAACACACCUGCAAAUGAAUUAGUAAUGGUGGGAAGGAAGACAGAGAUAAUAUAAAGUUCUCACUAUGACUUCCGUUCAAGUAUUUCAAAUAUCUUUUUUUCUUUGUGAUCACUUUUCAAUAGCUAAAAAAAAAAGCCCUUGGAAUUCCCCAUUCAAAGCUUAUCUGCAAAAGUUUGUAGAACCUUUCAUUUAAGACGGGUUAUUCAUCUUAAAUUGUUUCUCCUUUAGAAUCAGGCUAUAACAACUGAAACAACUUGAAAAUUUUGAAUCCAGAAGAAUUAUAGGCAGUCUUCCCCACCAAAGUCUCCAUUUCUGGAUGGUGGAAUCCUAAGUUCUGAGUCACCUACAGAAGAUGCUAAGGUAUUGUCAGCCUGGAUUGGGGAUGACCACCACCUUGCCCUAUCCAGAGAAACCUCUGGACUUGCACUGAACACUGACCUUUCUCAUACCAAUGCCCAGACCCCUAGAGGGCAGAAGAAUACAGGUCUAACCUCUGCUCUCAACAUGACCAGUAGUUGCUUGAUCUGUUAUGGGGCAGGUUUGGGGAGGGCCACCUUAGGUUGGCUGGAGCACCAGGGGUCAGAGAACAAACAGUGGGGAGUGAGAACCCAUCCCAGGGAGGUAGAGUGGUGGCCAGAGGUGGGACCAUGCCAAGGCUUCAAUACCUCCGAGCACCCCAUUGUCUUAUUGAACUUCAUUUAUGAAACACAAAAUUCAAAGAUCAAAUUAUUAUAAGAAUUUCAAGAGAGUGACUGCAGAACAUUAAAAACCAAGUGCAGGACCCUUCUAAGCACAGGGUCCUGUGCAACCAUACUGGUUAAAGACCCAUGAAACUGGCCCUGACUCUGGAAAUUGUCUGUUAUUUUUUGUGUUUGGGAAUAUAUUCAGACUUGUUUGUACUGGAUCUAUCUGAAAAGCUAAAUAAUGUUUAUGCUAAUCAGAUAGUUUAAUACAGUGGUCCUCCAAGCAUGGGUCUGCCCCAGCAGCAUCAGCAUCACCUAAGAACAUGUUAGAAAUGCAAAUUCUUAGGCCCAGCUUCAAAGUAUAGAAAUAGAAUCUCUAGGGGUGGGGUCCAGCAACCUGUGGUUUUAACAAGCCCUCCUUGGGGCGCCUGGGUGGCUCAGUCGGUUAAGCGUCUGACUUCGGCUCAGGUCACAUCUCACGGUCCGUGGGUUCGAGCCCUGCGUCGGGCUCUGUGAUGACAGCUCAGAGCCUGGACCCUGCUUCACAUUCUGUGUCUCCCUCUUUCUCUGACCCUCCCCUGUUCAUGCUCUCUGUCUCAAAAAUAAAUAAAUGUUAAAAAAAAUUUUUUUUUUAAAAACAAGCCCUCCUGGUGAUUCUAAUGCAGGAAGAAGUUUGAUCUAAUGGUUCUGAUCUAACAGUUUUGAAGCUUUCUGCCGAGGAAGAAUUUUUUUUUAUCCUAAAUUAUUGUUGCAGAAUUCUCAACAAUUAUUUGGAGGUGGUAAUGGCAAUGAAUUAUGGGUCACAUGAGUAUUCCUUACUCUUGCAUGUUUUCUUCUAGUAGGAAAGAUCUGCCAGAGUAGCUGAGAGUUGCAGGGCUCCUAAUAGCUAUUUGGAGGUGGCAGGAGGGCUUCUGUACUGAAGUACAUGACAGCAUGGGGAAGAGUGACAGAACCACCAGCAUGAUGGCUUUGCUUCAGUCCCAGAGAGACAGCAAUUCAAAUUCCAGUGUUCCUUCUAACCAACUGGUAACACCUUGGAAGGAUUAUUUACCUUCUCUUAGCUUAGGUAUCUUCAGCCAUAAAAUAGGGAUAAUAAUAGUGAUGCUAUUGUAUCACUAUAGGAUAUAAGUGGGGAACACUUCCUGGGGUUCUUGUGAGGUGUGACUGAGCUAAUGGGAAGUCCUUAUUAUAGUGCUAGACACAUAGUUAGCACUCAACAGACAGUAGGUAUUAUUCAAGGAAUAAAAUUAUUGCAUACUGAUCUAACCUAUAAUGCAGUUAUGUAUUUACAUUUUAAUUUGAUUGGUAGUGCUGAUUAUUAGAUACAAAUUGAAACAUUCUAUUUCCAUAAAGGUCAAUGGAAUAUGUAUGCAUAUGUGACCUAAAACAAUUGUUUUCAGACUCUUGUUUCCUUAUUAGAGGGUUUCCAGGAUUCCACCUGUCCCAUCAGAGGGUUAAAUUUUCUUUUUUCCUGAAGGACUAGCAGCUCAGUUUUUCCCUAGCAUUAUCGUACUUUUGUGCUGAGCAUACAUUAUUAGAUCAUAGGCUUUCUUCCUCUUAGCACCCAUAUAUUUUCUAAAUCAAUGAUUUGCAAAGCAAAAGGGAUUCCCUCAGGUAAAUAUUUGCUAGGCAGGUCCAUCUUGCCCUGCUUUCUGAGCAGGGGCAAAGACUUCCUUUAAGCCUUGUGUUGA
rnacentral:lncRNA from 1 species